rnacentral:miRNA from 1 species
CCUAGGGUUGAGUGGGUGGUUGGU